CAUGCAAGUCGAGCGGGGAAAGGUAGCUUGCUACCUGACCUAGCGGCGGACGGGUGAGUAAUGCUUAGGAAUCUGCCUAUUAGUGGGGGACAACAUUCCGAAAGGAAUGCUAAUACCGCAUACGCCCUACGGGGGAAAGCAGGGGAUCUUCGGACCUUGCGCUAAUAGAUGAGCCUAAGUCAGAUUAGCUAGUUGGUGGGGUAAAGGCCUACCAAGGCGACGAUCUGUAGCGGGUCUGAGAGGAUGAUCCGCCACACUGGGACUGAGACACGGCCCAGACUCCUACGGGAGGCAGCAGUGGGGAAUAUUGGACAAUGGGCGAAAGCCUGAUCCAGCCAUGCCGCGUGUGUGAAGAAGGCCUUUUGGUUGUAAAGCACUUUAAGCGAGGAGGAGGCUACUUAGAUUAAUACUCUAGGAUAGUGGACGUUACUCGCAGAAUAAGCACCGGCUAACUCUGUGCCAGCAGCCGCGGUAAUACAGAGGGUGCGAGCGUUAAUCGGAUUUACUGGGCGUAAAGCGUGCGUAGGCGGCUUCUUAAGUCGGAUGUGAAAUCCCUGAGCUUAACUUAGGAAUUGCAUUCGAUACUGGGAAGCUAGAGUAUGGGAGAGGAUGGUAGAAUUCCAAGGUGUAGCGGUGAAAUGCGUAGAGAUCUGGAGGAAUACCGAUGGCGAAGCAGCCAUCUGGCCUAAUACUGACGCUGAGGUACGAAAGCAUGGGGAGCAAACAGGAUUAGAUACCCUGGUAGUUCAUGCCGUAAACGAUGUCUACUAGCCGUUGGGGCCUUUGAGCUUUAGUGGCGCAGCUAACGCGAAUAAGUAGACCGCCUGGGGAGUACGNCGCACGAACUAUAACUCAAAUGAUUUGACGGGGGCC
rnacentral:rRNA from 1 species